UACGGGAGGCAGCAGUGGGGAAUAUUGCACAAUGGGCGAAAGCCUGAUGCAGCGACGCCGCGUGGGGGAUGACGGCCUUCGGGUUGUAAACCUCUUUCAGCAGGGAAGAAGCGAAAGUGACGGUACUUGCAGAAGAAGCGCCGGCUAACUACGUGCCAGCAGCCGCGGUAAUACGUAGGGCGCAAGCGUUGUCCGGAAUUAUUGGGCGUAAAGGGCUUGUAGGUGGCUUGUCGCGUCUGCCGUGAAAACUCGAGGCUUAACCUUGGGCGUGCGGUGGGUACGGGCAGGCUAGAGUGCGGUAGGGGAGACUGGAAUUCCUGGUGUAGCGGUGAAAUGCGCAGAUAUCAGGAGGAACACCGAUGGCGAAGGCAGGUCUCUGGGCCGUUACUGACACUGAGAAGCGAAAGCAUGGGGAGCGAACAGGGAUUAGAUACCCGU
rnacentral:rRNA from 1 species